UGUGUUGUCGCAGAAACAUAAAUCGUGGUUUGAGAAAUAGAGACUUGUGCUACUGAAAACGUGUUGCAAACGGUGGCUCUGAAACUCUUUGAAUUGUACUGGCAAUUUGGAGGGGCGCAGUUUAUACGGGCAUGGCGCUUAAUUUGUCAAGACUUCCGUUCUCCCGAUUCUUCAGGCAGGUGGAGCAUGACAUUGAAACUGUGGUUAAGGUGCUGCAACCUGGACCUUUGGGAGUAAUAGAGCACAAGUUCACUGACGAGGAGAUAAAUAGUGCAAAUUUAACUGUAAAGAGAGCAGUGAAGAACUGGCAGAGGAUUGCUUACAGUGAAAGGAAUAAUCCUAUCAUGAAAGAUUUCAUAGAUGUCAAGACUUAUAAUCUCCAAAAGCCCUAGAUGAUUAUUGUAAUUUAGAUACAUGGUGAAGUUUGCCAUUUGCCAUCGUAGAAUUGCUGGAGUCGAGUUCUCUGUUAAUCCCGAAUCACUGGAUGCUUAGACUGAUUUGUUCUUGAGACAUUCCAAAGAAAGUAGAAUAUUACCUUGAGCAAUUUCCAUAGGAAGUACAGUUGUAUCUGGUCUCUGCCUCUCUGGAUGAUAUUCUUUGAUGGCCUUCGGUAGUCGGCCUUGAUUUCUUCAACAUCAGCGUUUGCAGGUAUUCCCAGAAACCUGUUUGGCCAAAACUUUUAAGCAUCAGCUCAGUUUUACUUGUCAAAAGGUAAGAAGAUUGAGCGAUGAGAAGAUUAAGGUGAAAGUGAGAAUAAAGCAGGAAGGGGUUGUUGUUGGUGCAGCCAUGAGAGAGGAGGGAGAAAAUCUGUUUGUUUCUGGUUUGAAUUUUGGAUUCAGAAUUUAGACUAGGAACAGAAGUUGCACCACCUCAUCUUUCUGUAGGCUCAGGAUUCUUGCUCAACAGGUUUCCAAAUGGGCUUUUUGUUGUUAGUCCUGACAAAAGGAAAUGAGGGUAUAAUAAAAAACUUAUUUAUUAUUUAUCUAUUUUUUUCUGGAAGAGAAAAUGAGCCAUCUGAAGUUGACAGCACCCACACAUACAAGUUGCUAAAAUUUAUUGGUGGCCAUAUUAUUAGGAGUAGUAUUUAUUUUCAGUUAAUACACAUUGCAUACAUAUUAGUGAACCAGAAUCUAUCAUAGAAGUUAGAAUACCAUAUAUACUUAUGGGGGAGGAGAUACAAAAGAAGAGUACAUUGGAAAAUAAGUGAUGAGAGCUGAUCCAUAAAGAGUGCUCUCUCUCUCUCUCUCUCAUAACAGAGAUUUGUGCUGAUGAAAAUGUGACUAUACCCAGAUAGCUCUAGCCUUCUUGAGCAGUGGGACCAGCUCUCCCUUGACAUGAAGGCUCAUGACCUCGUUGGCACCGCCUACGAGUUGUUGGUCGAUGAAGACUGCAGGGAAGGUGGUCCUCCGCCCGGAUGGGGUUGUGAGUGCGCUCUCCAGCUGAUGUCCAUUGGGCAGCUGAUCAAGCUCGUAAACUGUGGGGUUUGCUCCGAAGCUACAGAUGAGUGUCUUGAUGGUGUGGGAUAUGCAACAAGUGCUCUUGCUGAAUAUCACCACCGGUUUGUCGGCCGUUAGCCUAUUGAUUGCCUCCAUUUUAGGUCGGAAUAAGAUGGUAAUAUACGCGUUGGUUUGAUUGAUGAGGAGCUGAUGUUAUGUUUGUGUUCUGGGUGAUUUGGAGAAGGGUUGUGGGAGUUUAUAUAAUAGGAGUAGUAGAGCAGAGGGUGCAUGGCGGAGAACAGGUGGGCUCCAUGCGAGAUCUUUUAUUCCACGUUGGAUUUGGAUUUGGAUUUAUUCACUCCAUUUUCUCAUUUGUUUGGUGUGACAUUUUUCUCCUUUCCGCUAAGGAGGAAAUGCUUUGGUUACUGCAAAUGUCUCGUGUGAAACAUUUAUGAAUUUGUCUAUUUCACUUUA